AUCGAGUGAGUGCUCAAAGGCUCGACUUCGUGUGUGCAAACGCAGUUGAGGUUUACGCUUCAUUGUAUCCUGGGAGGUUGUUCGUUGACCCGGUGCACACCAAAUUGUUAGAACGGUGGGGACGGAUUAAGCCUUAAGGAAAGUGGCAUUGCUACACGCCUUGAAGCCUUUUUAAUCUUUCUAUUUCAUACCUUUAUCACAAUCUGUUCCAACAGUUCCCCAGAACAGAGAAUAUUCCGGUACAAAAUAGAACAAUUGUAAAUUUGUGUUUGGAUGCAUUCGAGGAUAUUUUAGAGGAUAUCCUUAGUAGAAUUUGGAUAAAAAGUUCAGAACAACGUCUAAAUAUAUUUUUAAAAAUAAAAUAAUUAAUUUAUAUUAGUAUAUUUUAUAUAAAAUUAUUUAUAAAAUUAUUUCAUAUAGUAAUUUAUAAUAUAAUAUUUUAUGUAACAAUCUAAUUUAAAAUAUUAUAUUUUAUUUUAUUAUAUAUAACAAUUUAUUUUAUGUAAAAAUUUAUUUUAUAUAAUUUAUUCAUAAUUUAUUAAUGAAUAAAGUAUAAUACUAGCAAUAUCCUUAUAAUUUUAAUUAAUAAUUAGUAUAAAUUUCAAUACAAAUUAAAAAAUAUAUAUAUAUAUAUAAUAUAUGAAAAAAUGAUUUUUUUAUGUAUAUAAUACUUAAUAUAAAAUAAAAUAAUUAAAUGUUAAUAUAUAAAUGAUAAAACUUAAUAAAAUAACAAAUAUAUCAAAUUUAAUUAAUUUAUAUUGUAUAAUAAAAUUUAAGUAUAAAUAUAUUAUCCAAAAAAUAAUAUUUAUAUUAAUAUAUUUAUUUAUUAAAUUUGAGCAUUCAUUUAAUUUAUUUGAAAUUAAUUAAAAUAAAGUAUAAAAAAAUAAAAGGGCAUAAUAGGAAAAAAAAAAAAAAAAAAAGUGGUAAAAUUUGUUGUUCCAGCUUGUUCUCCAUGGAAGGGAGAACAAACUUAACGGGUUGUUCCCGGAACAACCCGUUAAGUCCGGAACAACCACCUUGUUUCAUUUUGCAUUGUGUUUCGGGGGGUAAAGAGGGAUAUCACGCAUUGUUCUGGGAUAUCCCUCCAACCAAACGCAGCCAUAAUGAGUAUAAAACCUCUUGUACUCAUAAAUUUUUAAUCGUUGAUUGAUGGGAUGUGUGAUUAUGAUGAUGGCGGUCUCCACUUAGAAUGAUAGUGGUCCCAAAGGGUUGAGUAGGUAGUUGGUUGAAUAGUAUGAUCUAACGGGUGGAAAUGAUCAUGGAAUAAAUCUAAGGGCCGAAAAGUUAUGAGUAUAAGGGAGCCAAUACUCAUAAAAGUAUAGUAGCCGGACUAUAUAUAUAUAUAUAUAGAACUAGGCUGGAAUACUAUUAACAGCACCGAUGACUUGGUGCUAUUAAGUUUUCUGCCGUUGGAUUAAAAGAUGUGCGGUUAGGAUAAUGUGGGGCCUCUGGGGUUGAGUGGGUGGUUAGUUGAAUAGUACAAUCGAACGGAUGAAAAUGAUAAAAAAGGUAAAUCUAACGGCAGAAAACUUGAUAGCACCAAAUACUUCGUGCUAUUGAUAGUAUCCCAGCCGGACUCUAUAUAUAUAUAUAUAGAGUUUGACUGGGCUACUAUCGGCAGUAAACUGCUCGGUUUACUACCGAUUUGUUUUUGAUGAUAGAGCUUCCAAAUCGACGAUCGAUACCGUUGAACAUGAUUUAGACCAUUUAAAUUAUCUAAAAAUCAAAUUUCAUGAUUUUUUGGCAUCAUUAACUGAACGAUCAAAGGGUCACAAAAUCUAUAAUUUUAAUGGCCAAUAUGGUGCGUUUGCUCGUUUAACGGUAUAGAAGAGUUCAAAUCAACUAAAUUUUUGUUAAAAGAUUCUUUAAACUAUUUAAAAUAAGAUCUAGACUCUAGAUCUCAAAUAUAAAAAUUAUAUCAUCACUUUUUGAAGGAUAUUCAUUUCCAGCCAUUCAUUUUUCUGUUCACUUGAUGGACAAGAGAANGAAAGAGAGAGUUGGACUGGGCUACUAUUAGUACCAAAAUUCCAUUGUUGCUACCCAUUUUUUAGCCUUUGGAUCAACUCUUUUCAUCAUUUCUAACCAUUGGAAUAAAUAUUAUAACCCAGUGGGGACCACUCAACUCUAACUGACUAAUAUUUUCCUAACCCUACAAUUUUUCAUCCAAGAGUUUAAAAACUUGAUAGCAAAAAGAGCGUUUUACUACUAAUAGUAUUCCAGCCUAAUUAUAUAUAUAUAUAUAUGUAUGUAUAUAUAGGUCAUUGGUGCUAUUAAGUUUUCUGCCGUUGAAUUAAAAGAUGUGCGGUUCGGAUGAUGUGGGGCCUCUAGGGUUGAGUGGGUGGUUAGUUGAAUAGUACAAUCGAACGGAUGAAAAUGAUAAUAAAGGUAAAUCUAAUGGCAGAAAACUUGAUAGCACCAAAUGCUUCGUGCUAUUGAUAGUAUCCCAACCGGACUCUAUAUAUAUAUACAUAUAUGUAUACAUAUAUACAUAUAUGUAUAUAUGUAUACAUAUAUGUAUACAUAUAUGUAUAUAU
rnacentral:lncRNA from 1 species